CACCCUGGCCAGGGCUCUGUCUAGCCAGGUCUUAAAAGCCUCCAAGGAUGGCAGUUCUAUAACACACGUGGCAUUAAGUGCCUAAUUUUCAAGUGCAAAUGAUAAAUCUGUGAUUUGAGGCACAACUACCUGAGUAGCUGGCACAUUCAGAGUGAUCCUCUAUACAAGUUGCCUGCCUGAUUUGCACAUGUGAUACUCUGGGUCGCUAUCUUUGUGAACUCAGGUGGGGGGGAGGGGGGUUGAGCCUGCAAAAAAUAGCACCCGCCAAAUAACCAGGUCAUUUUUAGAGCGUGCUGUCUCCAUUUCAUUCAACACCACUACCGAACCCAGCUCAAAGGCGCUUGAUAUGGCUUCUUCCCCAGGCCACCAUCAAACUGAAUGAGCAAUGCAAGCUUUCUGAUAUCAGAGACACACAGAGUGGUAAAGGCCUGCCGGGCUAAUUGGGACUCUGAACAAGCACGUUCGUUUCUGCAGCCUGCCUGAGCUGGGACAAGUGGCAGGCUAAAUGCUUCAUUUGAAUCUGUGGAGCCUGGGAUUCAAUAAAGGGACUGAAUCAUUUGUUAGUGUUUCUGGCAUUGCCGUCUACACGCAGCAUCAGAGGGGAGGGAUGGCGGAUAGGGGAGGACACCGAAAACCAGAUUCAAGCUCUCCGCAUCACGCGCUCUCAUGCCCUAUUUUCCUUUUCACCAUGUGCUCAAAACGGAGCCACCUCUCAUCACUCUUCAGAGUCCUUAACAGCUUUGAGUUCACUCGUUUCCUGGCAUCUCUUUCACCUCCAACCCAUAUUGCAAUCCGCACAAAACAAACCCGGCUGCUGCAGCGAAGAUGCCUUUGCCUUACAUUCAGCAGCACCAAAGUGCAACAGCAGCCAAGGGACAAGGUGGCAUCCUACGUCUCGAGACUAACACAGGCUUUGCCUACCUGUAAAGCAAGACCAAGCCAUGAAACCGUUGGCACAUCUGACACUCCGACACAAUCACUUCUACCAAUGCAAAGAAGAGAGAUGCUCAUUAACCACCUCUGAAAACAUCUCGGCCUUUUUCUUCCCUCUGUUCACAGACCAACAGUCCCUUCCUCACUUCAACGUUUCCUUGAACGUCUCACUUCAGAGCUAUCACAAAAAGAGCUGAAUUGGGAUUCAAGAGCAGUAUUGUUCUACUGACAAAUAUCGAGUGUGCCUCAUUAAAAAGCCUUGAUGAAGACUCUUUUGCCAAUUUCUAUUUUCCCUGCAGUUGGGAGAUACAUCAGCUCAUAAAAUUAAAUGUUUUCAGAAUGCAUAUAAAUGAGGCGCAAAUUUAUUUUAAUUUCUGACUACAUAA